rnacentral:rRNA from 1 species
UACGAAGGGGGCUAGCGUUGCUCGGAAUCACUGGGCGUAAAGCGCACGUAGGCGGAUUGUUAAGUCAGGGGUGAAAUCCUGGAGCUCAACUCCAGAACUGCCUUUGAUACUGGCGACCUUGAGUCCGGGAGAGGUGAGUGGAACUGCGAGUGUAGAGGUGAAAUUCGUAGAUAUUCGCAAGAACACCAGUGGCGAAGGCGGCUCACUGGCCCGGUACUGACGCUGAGGUGCGAAAGCGUGGGGAGCGAACAGG